rnacentral:rRNA from 1 species
UACGGAGGGUGCAAGCGUUAUCCGGAUUCACUGGGUUUAAAGGGUGCGUAGGUGGGCAGGUAAGUCAGUGGUGAAAUCUCCGGGCUUAACCCGGAAACUGCCAUUGAUACUAUCAUUCUUGAAUAUUGUGGAGGUAAGCGGAAUAUGUCAUGUAGCGGUGAAAUGCUUAGAUAUGACAUAGAACACCGAUAGCGAAGGCAGCUUGCUACACAAUUAUUGACACUGAGGCUCGAAAGCGUGGGGAUCAAACAGG